rnacentral:rRNA from 1 species
CUGGCUCAGAGCGAACGCUGGCGGCAGGCCUAACCCUUGCAAGUCGAGCGCCCCGCAAGGGGAGCGGCAGACGGGAGAGUAACACGUGGGAACGUGCCCUUCAGUUCGGAACAACCCAGGGAAACUUGGGCUGAUACCGGAUACGUCCGUAAGGAGAAAGAUUUAUCGCUGAAGGAUCGGCCCGCGUCUGAUUAGCUAGUUGGUGGGGUAAUGGCCCACCAAGGCGACGAUCAGUAGCUGGUCUGAGAGGAUGAUCAGCCUCACUGGGACUGAGACACGGCCCAGACUCCUACGGGAGGCAGCAGUGGGGAAUAUUGGACAAUGGGCGCAAGCCUGAUCCAGCCAUGCCGCGUGGGUGAUGAAGGCCUUAGGGUUGUAAAGCCCUUUCGGCGGGGAAGAUAAUGACGGUACCCGCAGAAGAAGCCCCGGCUAACUUCGUGCCAGCAGCCGCGGUAAUACGAAGGGGGCUAGCGUUGCUCGGAAUCACUGGGCGUAAAGCGCACGUAGGCGGCUUCUUAAGUCAGGGGUGAAAUCCUGGAGCUCAACUCCAGAACUGCCUUUGAUACUGGGAGGCUCGAGUCCGGGAGAGGUGAGUGGAACUGCGAGUGUAGAGGUGAAAUUCGUAGAUAUUCGCAAGAACACCAGUGGCUAAGGCGGCUCACUGGCCCGGUACUGACGCUUAGGUGCGAAAGCGUGUGGAGCAAACGGGAUUAGAUACCCUGGUAAUCCACGCCGUAAACG